AUUGAACGCUGGCGGCAGGCCUAACACAUGCAAGUCGAACGAGUGGCGGACGGGUGAGUAAUGUCUGGGAAACUGCCUGAUGGAGGGGGAUAACUACUGGAAACGGUAGCUAAUACCGCAUACCAUCAGAUGUGCCCAGAUGGGCUUAGCUAGUUGGUGGGGUAACGGCUCACCAAGGCGACGAUCCCUAGCUGGUCUGAGAGGCUGACAAGCCACACUGGAACUGAGACACGGUCCAGAAGCCUAAGGGAGGCAGCAGUGGGGAAGAUGGCACAAUGGGCGAAAGCCUGAGGCAGCCAGGCCGCGUGUAUGAAGAAGGACUUCGGGUUGUAAAGUACUUUCAGCGGGGAGGCGUUACCCGCAGAAGAAGCACCGGCUAACGCCGUGCCAGCAGCCGCGGUAAUUC
rnacentral:rRNA from 1 species